GUGCAAAUUGCAGGGAAUGCUUAGGUACAAGGUCUAGCACUACCCUCAAAGUAGCUCACAAUCAAGUGGGGAAGAAAGACCUAUACACAAAUAAUGCCGAAGAAUAAACAAAGUCAAGGCACUUGGCUUCCAGUCCUCACUGUCUGCAUCCCCACCUGCUUGGUUGAUCCCUCUGCUUGGGAGCUGCUUCCAUAUGGCCCUGCAUGGUUUGCCUUGCCUCCUGUCCCUAGCACCUCUCCGAGUGGGAAAGUCAUUGGUGUACCAGCACUAGGCAGCGCAGCUGCAGACACACAGUGAUACCAAGUAAUGUGGCAGGCCUCCUUUUAAGUGCAUCAAGUGGAGGCCUAGACAGCAGGGGCAUAAUUUAAAUAAAAUCUUCCUGAUGCAACACCUUUCAGACUCUGAAAAAGGCCCUUUUUUAGGAGGUGUGACACUCAUAUUAGAUAAGGCAAUCAUAACUGUAAACAAGCAUACUCCAGAGGACUGACAACGCUUUUUAAAAAUCCAAUUACAUGUUCUUAUUUGGUGUUAGUGCAAACAGAAAAAUAACAAGCCAACUUAUUUCAUCCCCACCGUGAUUUCCUCAAGGCUAAUUAAAGUGCACUCUGCUGAUGCCUAAAUCGUUCAACUCUAGGCAAACCAAAGAUUUAAAGGGACACACACCCAAUCAAUGUGUGGCUGUCAGUAAAUGGCAUUGUG
rnacentral:lncRNA from 1 species